AGCGAACGCUAGCGGCGGGCCUAACACAUGCAAGUCGAGCGCAUACCUUCGGGUAUGAGCGGCGGACGGGUGAGUAACGCGUAGGUCAUCUACCCUUUGGUGGGGGAUAACCCAGGGAAACUUGGGCUAAUACCGCACGAGGUCUACGGAUCAAAGCCUUCGGGCGCCAGAGGAUGAGCCUGCGUCGCAUUACCUAGUUGGCGGGGUAACGGCCCACCAAGGGGACGAUGCGUAGCUGGUCUGAGAGGAUGAUCAGCCACACUGGGACUGAGACACGGCCCAGACUCCUACGGGAGGCAGCAGUGGGGAAUAUUGCGCAAUGGGGGAAACCCGUGACGCAGCCACGCCGCGUGGGUGAUGAAGGCC
rnacentral:rRNA from 1 species